AUGCAGAAAAAGGUCAUUUUUUCCCCUGGAAGGGUUAAGGUCACGUUCCGUAAGGGACCGCUGGGAUAUCUUCUGCAGGAUCCAACUGACCAGGCCAGGGCGAUAAAAAACAACCCAUCUUUGCAGGACAAGUCGGCACCAAUUAAGGAGGAGCUUGUCAGACAAAAUGCUCUGAAUGUGGUCCGUCAAACAGGAGGUGAUGCAUCAGACCAAAAGAAGUUUUUGGAGAGUACAUCCAGCAGUUUGGAAAAUACAAGGGGAAGUCCUUCCGGUGGCUCCUUGAAAAUUAUGUGGGGUACACCAUCUACCCGAUAAAGAACCUUCAGCAGAAAGAGGCUGCAGGAGUUACGAUGACUGAGGGGCACAGCAAGAGCAGCCUGGUCUCUUUUGUGAAGUACGCCGACAGCUUUGAGGAAAUCCAGUCUCUUUUAAGCUAUGUGUCUAAAACUCCAGCUGCACCAGUGGCCUCAUCGGAGGACGAUUUUAGAGUUUCAGCGCUCAUGCCAAGAGUACACGGAGGGAGAUUUGGGACAGCAGAGCUGAUGGUUACACUUCCUUUAUAAUGGGGGCAAAAUGUGUCCGAGGGACACGGAUGUAUAAACUGCAACAAUACCUGUUGAAGCAGCAGCAGCAGUGUGCCCGUCCACGUGUGCCUGACUCAAGUGCCACAUCUGAGCCCACAGAGAUGGAUGAAGAUGCUGAGCUGGAGAGUGCAAUGCUGAACAUCACUCCCUCUAAGCUACUGGUGCAAUGGGCUAUGAAUUGAUUCCCCCACCACGAUGAACUGAUAAAUCCCCAUUCUGGAACCAUCUACUGUUCUUUCAAAACCACUGACUGGCACUAUAAAGGAACUGCAUCUGUCUCCUGUGGAUGCACCAGCUCUGAAAACGCCUGUGCCCCUUCCCAAAGAGCUGAUGUUUCUUGCGCAGGAACCACCGGCUUCUACACAAACAAAGAAAACUGUUUC